rnacentral:rRNA from 1 species
GUGCCAGCCGCCGCGGUAAUACAGAGGGUGCGAGCGUUAAUCGGAAUUACUGGGCGUAAAGCGCACGUAGGUGGUUCUGUAAGUCGGAUGUGAAAGCCCCGGGCUUAACCUGGGAACUGCAUUCGAGACUGCAGUACUGGAGUAUGGGAGAGGGAAGCGGAAUUUCCGGUGUAGCGGUGAAAUGCGUAGAUAUCGGAAGGAACAUCAGUGGCGAAAGCGGCUUCCUGGCCCAAUACUGACACUCAUGUGCGAAAGCGUGGGGAGCAAACAGGAUUAGAAACCCCUGUAGUCC